CUUCAUUCAGAAGCAUUUGUCAAUCUGCCUCUAUCCAUGGCAGCCCUUCUUAUUUUAAUGUUCUCACUCUUACCCACAAACUAAAUUUACAUUUCUUGCUGUUAUAAAUUUUAUAUUUUUGUGUGUGGAGAAACAUUCCAUCAAGAAGACUGAAGCCCAGUAAACUCCCAAAGACAAGACUUUCAGAAGGUCUGAAGACAAGUCACAUCAAACCACUGACCUAAGAAAAAUGGAAUUAAUGUUGCAACUGCAUUCUCCUAACUUCUCACUGGACUUGAGAUGGU
rnacentral:lncRNA from 1 species